rnacentral:rRNA from 1 species
CCUACGAGUGGCAGCAGUGGGGAAUAUUGGGCAAUGGACGCAAGUCUGACCCAGCAACGCCGCGUGAAGGAAGAAGGCUUUCGGGUUGUAAACUUCUUUUAAGGGGGAAGAGCAGAAGACGGUACCCCUUGAAUAAGCCACGGCUAACGACGGGCCAGCAGCCGCGGUAAUACGUAUGUGGCAAGCGUUGUCCGGAUUUACGGGGUGUAAAGGGCGUGUAGGCGGGGUGACAAGUCAGAUGUGAAAAUUACGGGCUCAACGCAUAAACUGCGUUUGAAACUGUUUCCUUUGAGUGAAGGAGAGGUAAGCGGAAUUCCUAGUGUAGCGGUGAAAUGCGUAGAUAUUAGGAGGAACACCAGUGGCGAAGGCGGGUUUCUGGGCGCUUACUGACGCUGAGGCGCGAAAGCGUGGGGAGCAAACAGGAUUAGAUACCCCGGUAGUC